UCAAAAACGAAUAGCUGAAUU
rnacentral:piRNA from 1 species